rnacentral:rRNA from 1 species
GACGAACGCUGGCGGCGUGCCUAAUACAUGCAAGUAGAACGCACAGUUUAUACCGUAGCUUGCUACACCAUAGACUGUGAGUUGCGAACGGGUGAGUAACGCGUAGGUAACCUGCCUGGUAGCGGGGGAUAACUAUUGGAAACGAUAGCUAAUACCGCAUAAUAUUAAUUAUUGCAUGAUAAUUAAUUGAAAGGUGCAAUUGCAUCACUACCAGAUGGACCUGCGUUGUAUUAGCUAGUAGGUGAGGUAACGGCUCACCUAGGCGACGAUACAUAGCCGACCUGAGAGGGUGAUCGGCCACACUGGGACUGAGACACGGCCCAGACUCCUACGGGAGGCAGCAGUAGGGAAUCUUCGGCAAUGGACGAAAGUCUGACCGAGCAACGCCGCGUGAGUGAAGAAGGUUUUCGGAUCGUAAAGCUCUGUUGUAAGAGAAGAACGGGUGUGAGAGUGGAAAGUUCACACUGUGACGGUAUCUUACCAGAAAGGGACGGCUAACUACGUG